rnacentral:rRNA from 1 species
UACAGAGGUCUCAAGCGUUGUUCGGAUUCAUUGGGCGUAAAGGGUGCGUAGGCGGCGCGGUAAGUCGGGUGUGAAAUCUCGGGCUUAACUCCGAAACUGCAUUCGAUACUGCCGUGCUUGAGGACUGGAGAGGAGACUGGAAUUUACGGUGUAGCGGUGAAAUGCGUAGAUAUCGUAAGGAAGACCAGUGGCGAAGGCGGGUCUC